ACGGAAGGCAGCAGUGGGGAAUAUUGGACAAUGGGGGAAACCCUGAUCCAGCGACGCCGCGUGAGUGAAGAAGUAUUUCGGUAUGUAAAGCUCUAUCAGCAGGGAAGAUAAUGACGGUACCUGACUAAGAAGCCCCGGCUAACUACGUGCCAGCAGCCGCGGUAAUACGUAGGGGGCAAGCGUUAUCCGGAUUUACUGGGUGUAAAGGGAGCGUAGACGGCAUGGCAAGUCUGAUGUGAAAACCCGGGGCUCAACCCCGGGACUGCAUUGGAAACUGUCAGGCUUGAGUGCAGGAGAGGUAAGUGGAAUUCCUAGUGUAGCGGUGAAAUGCGUAGAUAUUAGGAGGAACACCAGUGGCGAAGGCGGCUUACUGGACUGUAACUGACGUUGAGGCUCGAAAGCGUGGGGAGCAAACGGGAUUAGAUACCCUGGUA
rnacentral:rRNA from 1 species